rnacentral:rRNA from 1 species
AACAAACGCUGGCGGCGUGCCUAAUACAUGCAAGUCGAACGGGGAAAGUAGCAAUAUGAGUACUAGUGGCGCACGGGUGAGUAACGCGUGGGUAAUCUUCCUUGAAGCGUGGGAUAACCAGUCGAAAGAUUGGCUAAUACCACAUAAGACCACAGGAUCUGCGGAUCUAGGGGUCAAAGGUUUUUCGCUUUAAGAUGAGCCCGCGUAGGAUUAGCUAGUUGGUAGGGUAACGGCCUACCAAGGCAACGAUCUUUAACUGGUCUUAGAGGAUGAUCAGUCACACUGGAACUGAGACACGGUCCAGACUCCUACGGGAGGCAGCAGUAGGGAAUAUUGCACAAUGGAGGAAACUCUGAUGCAGCGACGCCGCGUGAGUGAUGAAGGACUUCGGUUCGUAAAGCUCUGUUGCAAGGGAAAAGCAAGUGAUUGUACCUUGCGAGAAAGGGUCGGCUAACUUCGUGCCAGCAGCCGCGGUAAU